CAGCCGCCGCGGUAAUACGUAGGGUGCGAGCGUUAAUCGGAAUUACUGGGCGUAAAGCGUGCGCAGGCGGUUUUGUAAGACAGGCGUGAAAUCCCCGGGCUCAACCUGGGAAUGGCGCUUGUGACUGCAAAGCUAGAGUGCGGCAGAGGGGGAUGGAAUUCCGCGUGUAGCAGUGAAAUGCGUAGAUAUGCGGAGGAACACCGAUGGCGAAGGCAAUCCCCUGGGCCUGCACUGACGCUCAUGCACGAAUGCGUGGGGAGCAAACAGGAUUAGAUACCCCUGUAGUCCCUGUCUCUUAUAC
rnacentral:rRNA from 1 species